CUUUAUGUCACGAUAGACAGGAAGCUGUUAGUUUCACCUGUCCACUGCCUUCAGGUAACUAUAGACAGGAAGCUGUUAGUUUCACCUGUCCACUGCCUUCAGGUAACUAUAGACAGGAAGCUGUUAGUUUCACCUGUCCACUGCCUUCAGGUAACUAUAGACAGGAAGCUGUUAGUUUCACCUGUCCACUACCUUCAGGUAACUAGACAGGAAGCUGUUAGUUUCACCUGUCCACUGCCUUCAGGUAACUAUAGACAGGAAGCUGUUAGUUUCACCUGUCCACUACCUUCAGGUAACUAGACAGGAAGCUGUUAGUUUCACCUGUCCACUGCCUUUAUGUCACGAUAGACAGGAAGCUGUUAGUUUCACCUGUCCACUGCCUUCAGGUAACUAUAGACAGGAAGCUGUUAGUUUCACCUUUUCACUGCCUUCAGGUAACUAUAGACAGGAAGCUGUUAGUUACACCUGUCCACUGCCUUCAGGUAACUAUAGACAGGAAGCUCUUAGUUUCACCUGUCCACUACCUUCAGGUAACUAUAGACAGGAAGCUGUUAGUUUCACCUGUCCACUACCUUCAGGUAACUAUAGACAGGAAGCUGUUAGUUUCACCUGUCCACUGCCAUCAGGUAACUAUAGACAGGAAGCUGUUAGUUUCACCUCUCCACUGCCUUCAGGUAACUAUAGACAGGAAGCUGUUAGUUUCACCUGUCCACUGCCUUCAGGUUACUAUAGACAGGAAGUUGUAUCACCUGUACUAUAUAGAGGAAGUUGUAUCACCUGUACUGCGUCCCCUCAGCCCUACUUUAUUAUGAAUGAUAUUUUUAUGGGCUUCUGGUCCAUGCUCUAACUCAGGCCCUACAGUCUGCAGGUGUGUGUGAGAAAGGUGUGUAUGAGCUGUGUGUAAUACAGGUGUGUGUGUGAGCUGUGUAAGCAGGUGUGUGUGAGCUGUAUGUAAGGCAGGUGUGAAGUAAAGUUAUCCGCAUGCUUCCCAUCCAAAACAGUUUGUGAAUAUUUUAAUAUUUUGUACAUCGUGUGACGUUUCUGUUAAUUUCGGUGAAGGGUUUAUUGUUUGCGUUCUUUUCUCCUGUCAAGCUGAAGUUCGGUAGCCGAAGUCUACGCCCCCCUUCGUCAGUGAUUGGUCAACAGUAGGGAUACUUCAAGGAAGUGUUUGCCAUUCAACGACAGACUAAUAGUUUUCAUGCAAAUGUUUUCAUUAAGAAAUACUGCACCAAACAUCUUAGAUGUAAAACCAUUCGACUAGCUUCUCCUUGACAAAAAAACGUCAAUUUAUGACAGAUUUCUUGAGUUAUCUUUUAGAUUAAUUCUGAUUAUUUUGAGGAAGUGUAUACUGGCUACGGCGUCUCAAGUUGGACAAACAGUACCAUCGCUACUUUUUUUUUCUUGUUUUUCAAGCGAAGGUCUUUUAAGGGAGUAUGCGAGUACACUCGUUCGGCUCAGCCCAACCGAAGCAUGCGGAAGGAUUAACACAGGUGUGUGUGUGUGUGAGCUUGUAACACAGGUGUGUGUGUGAGAGCUUGUAACACAGGUGUGUGUUGUGAGCGUGUAAGACAGGUGUGUGUUAGAGCUGUGUGUAAGACAGGUUUGUGUGUGUGUGUGUCCGCGUUUGUCUAUAUCCAGUUUCUGUGUGUCCAAUACAUGUACUGUAAGACUGGUUGUGUUGUCAGUACUGUUAGACUGGUUGUGUUGUCAGUACUGUUAGACUGGUUGUGUUGUCAGUACUGUGAGACUGGUUGUGUUGUCAGUACUGUUAGACUGGUUGUGUUGUCAGUACUGUUAGACUGGUUGUGUUGUCAGUACUGUGAGACUGGUUGUGUUGUCAGUACUGUGAGACUGGUUGCGUUGUCAGUACUGUGAGACUGGUUGCUUUGUCAGUACUGUUAGACUGGUUGUGUUGUCAGUACUGUGAGACUGGUUGUGUUGUCAGUACUGUGAGACUGGUUGUGUUGUCAGUACUGUGAGACUGGUUGUGUUGUCAGUACUGUUAGACUGGUUGCUUUGUCAGUACUGUUAGACUGGUUGUGUUGUCAGUACUGUUAGACUGGUUGUGUUGUCAGUACUGUGAGCAUGUUGAGACUGUUUUAGGAGAUAAAAUUACACAGUAUAAAGAUAAUCACCUGCCUCCAACUAAAAUAUAUAUUUGAAUUUGAAAUACUUUAGUCCAGGCCAUUUUCUGACUUUGAAGGGACUUGUAUUUUCUUGGUCCUGUGCAGUUGUUAAUCAAACAAAUAUAUGUGCCCAGUUUUUAUUUUGUGUUUUUUUUUUUCAAUGUCAAUGUUAUUUUUGAAGAAAUUGUGAAUUAUUUAAAAAGGUGCCAAUAUAUAUAUUAGAACAUAACUGUAGUUCUCGGAUCUCUGUGGUCGUUAGACCCACCAGCUGUUCAGAAUUUAAUAAAGAGCUAGCUACAAAAGAUUUUAUACUUUA